AUUAACUAAUAUUACUAAGUUACUGUAAAAAACGAUUUGUCUUUUUUAUACUACUAAAUAAAAUUUUGAUUUUAUGCAGAUACAUAAAAAGUGAAUUAUAAUUCUGUAUUACAAUAAUUUAUAUACAUAUAUUAAGAAUAGGACAAAGAUUUACACGAUAAAAAAUACUUUAAUAUUAAUUAAAACAAUUAUUUGGUUUUGAUUAUUUAAAAUUAUUAUUGAAUUAUGGAAUGUCUUCCAGUACAUUAAAUAUCAUAGACCCGAGAGGUUGCACUCAUUGCCCCCU
rnacentral:lncRNA from 1 species